CAUACAAUAACAUUAACCCAUGUCUUUCCAAGCAGACAUUUAUGUAUCGAUUGGUUUUCUGUCUAGAAAAAGUAGUAAACGUUUGAUAAAAUUAAAGCGGACUUGGAAGGUGUGAGAGUGAAUAGUCGUGUGGCGGUGAUAAUGCGUGAAUGGGAUAGAGUUAAGUAGAUAUUUAGAGAUAUAGGAUGAAAAAAUAGAAGUAAAUGGGAAGAGAAGAAAGUUGCUGGGGAAUUGAAAGGAACGCGAUAGAAACAGGAGGAAAGGAUAGAAGACAAGCAGAAAGAUCGCGGCUAGGGAGAUUAGGAUGCAUAGGCGAGCACGGGAAAAUAGUAUGUAUAGAGAAGGGAAAGAAGAAAAGGGCCAGAGAAUGCGGAUAAGAGAGAUUAAGUAAUAUAGAGAGCUCCAUUCCGCACCAUGUGAUUUCGGCCUUAGAGUAGAGAAAAGAGUGGACUCAGAUCACAGCCCCUAGGCAAUGACAUUGAAAAGCAGAAAGAAGAGGAGGAGAAAAGGAUUGCAGAAAGAUCAUAGAACUUAUACUAAUGGAAGAGGAAAAGGACCCGUAAAAGUGUGUCCAAGAAGUGAGACAAAAAACUAGUUCUGUCUCAUACCUACAAAUACGGCCGCUCAUGCGCAUUAUGAGGAAGUUAUGAAAUGAGACGGAAAACUAGUUCUGUCUCAAUUUCAUCUCAAGUCAUGUUCUACCUAUCCUUGUCGCACAGAUGUUGGACACAGUUUCGGCAUACGGACGGCAUACGCUAUUUCUCUUCCAUUAGUAUAAGUUUUAUGAGAAAGAUCAAGAAUAAGAGAGGACGACGAAGCAGAGCGUAUACACGAGGAAAAGCGGAAAAGGCAAAUGAAUGGAGAUCCUGGGUAACGAGGCAACAGAAUUUUGGAAGAAAUUAUAGGAGAUAAUCCAGAAAGCAACAAUAAAGAUAAGCGUGCAGGAAAGAAAAGGAAUACAAGGUCUAUUCAAAUAGAGGUUGUACAAGAAGGAAGAGGAAAAUAUAAAGGAUUUUAAAGAGUCGAAGAAA